rnacentral:rRNA from 1 species
GUGCCAGCAGCCGCGGUAAUACGGAGGAUCCGAGCGUUAUCCGGAUUUAUUGGGUUUAAAGGGUGCGUAGGUGGUUUGAUAAGUCAGCGGUGAAAGUUUGCAGCUUAACUGUAAAAAUGCCGUUGAAACUGUCGGACUUGAGUGUAAAUGAGGUAGGCGGAAUGCGUGGUGUAGCGGUGAAAUGCAUAGAUAUCACGCAGAACUCCGAUUGCGAAGGCAGCUUACUAAGCUACAACUGACACUGAAGCACGAAAGCGUGGGGAUCAAACAGGAUUAGAUACCCUGGUAGUCCACGCAGUAAACGAUGAUUACUAGCUGUUUGCGAUACACAGUAAGCGGCACAGCGAAAGCGUUAAGUAAUCCACCUGGGGAGUACGCCGGCAACGGUGAAACUCAAAGGAAUUGACGGGGGCCCGCACAAGCGGAGGAACAUGUGGUUUAAUUCGAUGAUACGCGAGGAACCUUACCCGGGUUUGAACGUAGGGAGACAGGGGUGGAAACAUCCUUUUCAGCAAUGACUGCCUACGAGGUGCUGCAUGGUUGUCGUCAGCUCGUGCCGUGAGGUGUCGGCUUAAGUGCCAUAACGAGCGCAACCCUUAUUUCCAGUUACUAACAGGUCAAGCUGAGGACUCUGGAGAGACUGCCAGCGUAAGCUGUGAGGAAGGUGGGGAUGACGUCAAAUCAGCACGGCCCUUACAUCCGGGGCGACACACGUGUUACAAUGGUAAGGACAAAGGGCAGCUACCGGGCGACCGGAUGCGAAUCUCUAAACCUUAUCUCAGUUCGGAUCGGAGUCUGCAACUCGACUCCGUGAAGCUGGAUUCGCUAGUAAUCGCAGGUCAGCAUACUGCGGUGAAUACGUUCCCGGGCCUUGUACACACCGCCCGUCACACCACGAAAGUUUGCAACACCCGAAGCCGGUGGCCUAACCCGUAAGGGAGGGAGCCGUCGAAGGUGGGGCAGAUGAUUGGGGUGAAGUCGUAACAAGGUAACC